UGGGGAAUUUUGGACAAUGGGCGCAAGCCUGAUCCAGCAAUGCCGCGUGCAGGAUGAAGGCCUUCGGGUUGUAAACUGCUUCUGUACGGAACGAAACGGCUCUGGUUAAUACCUGGGGCUAAUGACGGUACCGUAAGAAUAAGCACCGGCUAACUACGUGCCAGCAGCCGCGGUAAUACGUAGGGUGCGAGCGUUAAUCGGAAUUACUGGGCGUAAAGCGUGCGCAGGCGGUGAUGUAAGACAGAUGUGAAAUCCCCGGGCUCAACCUGGGACCUGCAUUUGUGACUGCAUCGCUGGAGUGCGGCAGAGGGGGAUGGAAUUCCGCGUGUAGCAGUGAAAUGCGUAGAUAUGCGGAGGAACACCGAUGGCGAAGGCAAUCCCCUGGGCCUGCACUGACGCUCAUGCACGAAAGCGUGGGGAGCAAACA
rnacentral:rRNA from 1 species